rnacentral:sRNA from 1 species
GCAGGGCGCGGUGGCACACGCCUGUAAUUCCAGAGGCUGGGGAGGCUGAGACAGGAGGACCACGAGUUCAAAGCCAGCCUUAGCAAAAGUGAGGCCCUGAGCAAUUCAGUGAGACCCUGUCUCUA